CCAUAAUCAUCAUUCAUUAAUAAGUAUGUUGUAAUAUGUUGAUGAGCAAUCUUUUGCUUUUUCAAAUUUAGAGGGCUAUAUAUAACAAAUCAGUCAUUGGUAACGCUAGAUGAUCUUCAUUCAAGAUUCAUUAUCGUAAAGGAAUCAUCGGCAAGAAAUGGUCUUUUCAUUGGCUGAUAAAAAUGGACCUUGGGUAGAUGUUUGCCAGGUUGUAUAUUUCUUGUAGCCUUUGACUUGCAUAAGGAAAAGAAAAUAUAUGCUGAAACUACAUGCUAGACGAUGAAAUCAUUGUUGAAGAACAUAUUAGUUAUGUUUAUAUAGAAAAAGAACACUGUAAAGUCACCUUGUACUGGACAGAGUAAUGUAAUAAGUGCAGAGCUCGGCACAACUAAUCUACAUCACCAUUUGCAGUUUAAAUGGUAAUAAAUGUGAUAUUUUACAUUCAUCCAGCUUUACAGUCUUACAUUUUGAGGAGCAAUGCAGUACAAAACUUAAAUGUGCCCUACUAACCUACUGCCCUUUCAUUAUAUUACUCUAUCUAAUAGCAUAUAAGCUUAUAUUUCAUUAAGG